CUGGGCUCAAGGUUUAAUAAAAGUGGAGCGCAUGCCAAAAAAUGACCACAUUAUUGAGUGUAAGAUAAGAAUGAGCUGAAAAAUGACCACAUUAUUGAGUGUGAGAAAAGAAUAAGCC